AUUGAACGCUGGCGGCAUGCCUUACACAUGCAAGUCGAACGGUAACAGGUCUUCGGAUGCUGACGAGUGGCGAACGGGUGAGUAAUACAUCGGAACGUGCCUAGUAGUGGGGGAUAACUACUCGAAAGAGUGGCUAAUACCGCAUGAGAUCUACGGAUGAAAGCAGGGGAUCGCAAGACCUUGUGCUACUAGAGCGGCCGAUGGCAGAUUAGGUAGUUGGUGGGAUAAAAGCUUACCAAGCCGACGAUCUGUAGCUGGUCUGAGAGGACGAUCGGCCACACGGGGACUGAGACACGGCCCAGACUCCUACGGGGGGCAGCAGUGGGGAAUUUUGGACAAUGGGCGCAAGCCUGAUCCAGCAAUGCCGCGUGCAGGAUGAAGGCCUUCGGGUUGUAAACUGCUUUUGCACGGAACGAAAAGCCCUGGAUUAAUACCCUGGGGUCAUGACGGUACCGUAAGAAUAAGCACCGGCUAACUACGUGCCAGCCGCCGCCGUAACAC
rnacentral:rRNA from 1 species